rnacentral:rRNA from 1 species
UAGGGAAUCUUCGGCAAUGGACGAAAGUCUGACCGAGCAACGCCGCGUGAGUGAAGAAGGUUUUCGGAUCGUAAAACUCUGUUGUUAGAGAAGAACAAGGACGUUAGUAACUGAACGUCCCCUGACGGUAUCUAACCAGAAAGCCACGGCUAACUACGUGCCAGCAGCCGCGGUAAUACGUAGGUGGCAAGCGUUGUCCGGAUUUAUUGGGCGUAAAGCGAGCGCAGGCGGUUUCUUAAGUCUGAUGUGAAAGCCCCCGGCUCAACCGGGGAGGGUCAUUGGAAACUGGGAGACUUGAGUGCAGAAGAGGGGGGUGGAAUUCCAUGUGUAGCGGUGAAAUGCGGAGAUAUAUGGAGGAACACCAGUGGCGGAGGCGGCUCUCUGGUCUGUAACUGACGCUGAGGCUCGAAAGCGUGGGGAGCAAACAGG